GCGGGCGUAGCUCAAUGGCAGAGCGUCAGCUUCCCAAGCUGAACACGCGGGUUCGAUUCCCGUCGCCCGCU
rnacentral:tRNA from 1 species